AGGAAACCAGAACACCAGUUAGGAAACAGAGCUACCAUUCAUUAGAAGGUGCUGGAAUGUGGAUGAUACUGUCCUCAGUCAAGUCAUCAAAGUUGCAUCGCUGCUCAAGUAAAACAAUGAAGGAACCAACACAGAUAAAGUCAUGCCAGUGCCAGAUCCCGCCUGAGGUUUCCCUAUUAACAGCUGGAAAAGUGAAUGCUGAACUACACUGUCAAGUCACAUUAUUAUCUGUGGCACCAUCUGUGGCACCACCUCGACUGUCGUGUUUGCUUUAUGGAUCCUCCUCCUUGCACCCUCCAGCAGCUGUGAAAUGCACUGCAGUCAGCAUGGCUCCUGAUACCUGUGACAACCUACAAGGACCUUACUGAGUCUCUCCCAGCCCGUCUAGCUGCUGUCCGUACUGCACAUGACGGGUUACACUGGAUAUUAGCUGGUGGUCAUAAUAAUGUAACAUACACCAUCUCUAUUCAGACUACAGCUCAUGCAUGUACAACAUCAGUGGCCAGAUCAAUGCACUAAGUAAACCAUUUUCUCUGAAUAGUUUUGGUCAUUUGUAUGCUGUUUUGGUGUAGCUACAUUUAGCUACAUUCAUUAUAAUGUUUUCAUUUAACAGGAAGGAGAAAUACCAGCUUUUUAGGGAUACUGAUUCCAGUGCAUUUUAAAAAUCAAAAUUCACAAAGACAGGACAAAUGAUUUCCUAAUUUUUUCUAAAAACUGCACAUAUUUAAACAAAUAACUUACAAAUGCUGUCUAACCCACAGAUAAACCUCUACUGACAUAAACUAGCAUUUAAAUAGCAUAGUAUUAUUUAUUAUACUCACUUUUUGUUUCUCCAUUUAACAUAAAUGAUCACAGCAGCAAUCACCAGCAACACGAAAACCAGAAUUAUCCACCAAUGCUGGCGCACUAAUAAUUCAUGCAAAACAACAACAACAAU